rnacentral:rRNA from 1 species
GAUGAGCGCUGGCGGCGUGCCUAAUACAUGCAAGUCGAGCGAACAGACGAGGAGCUUGCUCCUCUGACGUUAGCGGCGGACGGGUGAGUAACACGUGGAUAACCUACCUAUAAGACUGGGAUAACUUCGGGAAACCGGAGCUAAUACCGGAUAAUAUAUUGAACCGCAUGGUUCAAUAGUGAAAGACGGUUUUGCUGUCACUUAUAGAUGGAUCCGCGCCGCAUUAGCUAGUUGGUAAGGUAACGGCUUACCAAGGCAACGAUGCGUAGCCGACCUGAGAGGGUGAUCGGCCACACUGGAACUGAGACACGGUCCAGACUCCUACGGGAGGCAGCAGUAGGGAAUCUUCCGCAAUGGGCGAAAGCCUGACGGAGCAACGCCGCGUGAGUGAUGAAGGUCUUCGGAUCGUAAAACUCUGUUAUUAGGGAGGAACAAAUGUGUAAGUAACUAUGCACGUCUUGACGGUACCUAAUCAGAAAGCCACGGCUAACUACGUG